UACGUAGGGUGCAAGCGUUGUCCGGAAUUAUUGGGCGUAAAGAGCUCGUAGGCGGUUUGUUGCGUCGGCUGUGAAAUCCCGAGGCUCAACCUCGGGUCUGCAGUCGAUACGAGCAAACUAGAGUGUUGCAGGGGAGACUGGAAUUCCUGGUGUAGCGGUGAAAUGCGCAGAUAUCAGGAGGAACACCGGUGGCGAAGGCGGGUCUCUGGGCAACAACUGACGCUGGAGGAGCGAA
rnacentral:rRNA from 1 species